rnacentral:rRNA from 1 species
GGGUUGUGAGGUUAAGCGACUAAGCGUACACGGUGGAUGCCCUGGCAGUCAGAGGCGAUGAAGGACGUGCUAAUCUGCGAAAAGCGUCGGUAAGGUGAUAUGAACCGUUAUAACCGGCGAUGUCCGAAUGGGGAAACCCAGUGCAAUUCGUUGCACUAUCGUUAACUGAAUACAUAGGUUAACGAGGCGAACCGGGGGAACUGAAACAUCUAAGUACCCCGAGGAAAAGAAAUCAACCGAGAUUCCCCCAGUAGCGGCGAGCGAACGGGGAGCAGCCCAGAGUCUGAAUCAGCUUGUGUGUUAGUGGAACGGUCUGGAAAGUCCGACGGUACAGGGUGAUAGUCCCGUACACCAAAAUGCACAGGCUGUGAACUCGAAGAGUAGGGCGGGACACGUGGUAUCCUGUCUGAAUAUGGGGGGACCAUCCUCCAAGGCUAAAUACUCCUGACUGACCGAUAGUGAACCAGUACCGUGAGGGAAAGGCGAAAAGAACCCCGGCGAGGGGAGUGAAAAAGAACCUGAAACCGUGUACGUACAAGCAGUGGGAGCACCUUCGGGUGUGACUGCGUACCUUUUGUAUAAUGGGUCAGCGACUUAUAUUCUGUAGCAAGGUUAACCGUAUAGGGGAGCCGCAGGGAAACCGAGUCUUAACUGGGCGUUAAGUUGCAGGGUAUAGACCCGAAACCCGGUGAUCUAGCCAUGGGCAGGUUGAAGGUUGGGUAACACUAACUGGAGGACCGAACCGACUAAUGUUGAAAAAUUAGCGGAUGACUUGUGGCUGGGGGUGAAAGGCCAAUCAAACCGGGAGAUAGCUGGUUCUCCCCGAAAGCUAUUUAGGUAGCGCCUCGUGAAUUCAUCUUCGGGGGUAGAGCACUGUUUCGGCUAGGGGGUCAUCCCGACUUACCAACCCGAUGCAAACUGCGAAUACCGAAGAAUGUUAUCACGGGAGACACACGGCGGGUGCUAACGUCCGUCGUGAAGAGGGAAACAACCCAGACCGCCAGCUAAGGUCCCAAAGUCAUGGUUAAGUGGGAAACGAUGUGGGAAGGCACAGACAGCCAGGAUGUUGGCUUAGAAGCAGCCAUCAUUUAAAGAAAGCGUAAUAGCUCACUGGUCGAGUCGGCCUGCGCGGAAGAUGUAACGGGGCUAAACCAUGCACCGAAGCUGCGGCAGCGACACUAUGUGUUGUUGGGUAGGGGAGCGUUCUGUAAGCCUGCGAAGGUGUGCUGUGAGGCAUGCUGGAGGUAUCAGAAGUGCGAAUGCUGACAUAAGUAACGAUAAAGCGGGUGAAAAGCCCGCUCGCCGGAAGACCAAGGGUUCCUGUCCAACGUUAAUCGGGGCAGGGUGAGUCGACCCCUAAGGCGAGGCCGAAAGGCGUAGUCGAUGGGAAACAGGUUAAUAUUCCUGUACUUGGUGUUACUGCGAAGGGGGGACGGAGAAGGCUAUGUUAGCCGGGCGACGGUUGUCCCGGUUUAAGCAUGUAGGCUGGUUGUCCAGGCAAAUCCGGAUAAUCAAGGCUGAGGUGUGAUGACGAGGCACUACGGUGCUGAAGUAACAAAUGCCCUGCUUCCAGGAAAAGCCUCUAAGCAUCAGGUAACAUUAAAUCGUACCCCAAACCGACACAGGUGGUCAGGUAGAGAAUACCAAGGCGCUUGAGAGAACUCGGGUGAAGGAACUAGGCAAAAUGGUGCCGUAACUUCGGGAGAAGGCACGCUGGUGUGUAGGUGAAGUCCCUGCGGAUGGAGCUGAGACCAGUCGAAGAUACCAGCUGGCUGCAACUGUUUAUUAAAAACACAGCACUGUGCAAACACGAAAGUGGACGUAUACGGUGUGACGCCUGCCCGGUGCCGGAAGGUUAAUUGAUGGGGUUAUCCGUAAGGAGAAGCUCUUGAUCGAAGCCCCGGUAAACGGCGGCCGUAACUAUAACGGUCCUAAGGUAGCGAAAUUCCUUGUCGGGUAAGUUCCGACCUGCACGAAUGGCGUAAUGAUGGCCAGGCUGUCUCCACCCGAGACUCAGUGAAAUUGAACUCGCUGUGAAGAUGCAGUGUACCCGCGGCAAGACGGAAAGACCCCGUGAACCUUUACUAUAGCUUGACACUGAACAUUGAGCCUUGAUGUGUAGGAUAGGUGGGAGGCUUUGAAGCGUGGACGCCAGUCUGCGUGGAGCCAACCUUGAAAUACCACCCUUUAAUGUUUGAUGUUCUAACGUUGGCCCCUUAUCGGGGUUGCGGACAGUGUCUGGUGGGUAGUUUGACUGGGGCGGUCUCCUCCCAAAGCGUAACGGAGGAGCACGAAGGUUAGCUAAUCCUGGUCGGACAUCAGGAGGUUAGUGCAAUGGCAUAAGCUAGCUUGACUGCGAGCGUGACGGCGCGAGCAGGUGCGAAAGCAGGUCAUAGUGAUCCGGUGGUUCUGAAUGGAAGGGCCAUCGCUCAACGGAUAAAAGGUACUCCGGGGAUAACAGGCUGAUACCGCCCAAGAGUUCAUAUCGACGGCGGUGUUUGGCACCUCGAUGUCGGCUCAUCACAUCCUGGGGCUGAAGUAGGUCCCAAGGGUAUGGCUGUUCGCCAUUUAAAGUGGUACGCGAGCUGGGUUUAGAACGUCGUGAGACAGUUCGGUCCCUAUCUGCCGUGGGCGCUGGAGAAUUGAGGGGGGCUGCUCCUAGUACGAGAGGACCGGAGUGGACGCAUCACUGGUGUUCGGGUUGUCAUGCCAAUGGCACUGCCCGGUAGCUAAAUGCGGAAGAGAUAAGUGCUGAAAGCAUCUAAGCACGAAACUUGCCCCGAGAUGAGUUCUCCCUGAGACUUUAAGUCUCCUGAAGGAACGUUGAAGACGACGACGUUGAUAGGCCGGGUGUGUAAGCGCAGCGAUGCGUUGAGCUAACCGGUACUAAUGAACCGUGAGGCUUAACCUUACAACGCCGAAG